CGGGAAGUGAUGACACCCAUGACCGCUGAUGUUGCACUGAUUUUUCUCGUAUUCGUACUGGCUGAUCCCG